CAAAGUGUAGCUUAAACCAAAGCAUCUGGUUUACACCCAGAAGAUUCCAGCUUAAACUGAACAUUUUGA
rnacentral:tRNA from 1 species